CAGCAGCCGCGGUAAUACGAAGGGUGCAAGCGUUAAUCGGAAUUACUGGGCGUAAAGCGUGCGUAGGCGGUGAGUUAAGUCUGCUGUGAAAUCCCCGGGCUCAACCUGGGAAUGGCAGUGGAUACUGGCUCGCUAGAGUGUGUCGGAGGAUGGUGGAAUUCCCGGUGUAGCGGUGAAAUGCGUAGAGAUCGGGAGGAACAUCAGCGGCGAAGGCGGCCAUCUGGGACAACACUGACGCUGAGGCACGAAAGCGUGGGGAGCAAACAGGAUUAGAUACCCCUGUAGUCCCUGUCUCUUAUCC
rnacentral:rRNA from 1 species